GUCAGUUUUGUUCUAUUUAACAGUAAACCUUCCCUAGGCAACAAAAUGUUAUUUGUAGUUCUCAUCGGUUUUCUCAUAAUUUACAUGUUUUCUUAUAAUUUAUAACAUCUUUGGACGCAUAUACUGAGGAAAGCAUGGAUAAAGCAAAUAAACCUUGUGUUAUGUAUUAAUAGUUCUUACUGCUACCUUUCCUCAAAAAAAAAAAGUUCUUACUGCUACCUGGUGCUCAGCUCGCAAAAAGUAUAAAUACUGUGAUAGCUAAGCCUCUAGCUAUCAUGUAGGAAUAGCUAACUUUUUUUUACUAGGGAUUUUCGCAUUGAGAGGACAACUUAAACUGCGAAUUAUCAAUACCAUGAGCGAAGUAUUAGAUGAGUGAAGAGAAAUGCAGGAACCGAGAGCAAAUGACCCCCUUUUUUUGGCCUUUACAUUGAACUACAUUAUAUACCCACCACAAUUCAGCUAUCAAGGAAAGAAGAAUUUUGAGAUACUUGAUAUUGAAGUAUAUACUGAUUAGAAGCUCAGGGUAAUAGAAUCUAAGCCAGUGGGUUGAUGUUAUGAACACCACUGCACUUAUCUGUGUGCAGCUUCUCCGUUGUAUUUAUAUUUUAUUUUAUUUUUUUGAUUUCUCAUUCUUGUUUUCUCCUCUGCAUCAUAAAGUUAUUGUUUCAGUAGUUUAUUUAUUCACUCUUAUAAAUUUUUAA
rnacentral:lncRNA from 1 species